rnacentral:rRNA from 1 species
GACGAACGCUGGCGGCGUGCUUAACACAUGCAAGUCGAACGAAGAGCGAUGGAAGCUUGCUUCUAUCAAUCUUAGUGGCGAACGGGUGAGUAACGCGUAAUCAACCUGCCCUUCAGAGGGGGACAACAGUUGGAAGCGACUGCUAAUACCGCAUACGAUCCAAUCUCGGCAUCGAGGAUGGAUGAAAGGUGGCCUCUAUUUAUAAGCUAUCACUGAAGGAGGGGAUUGCGUCUGAUUAGCUAGUUGGAGGGGUAACGGCCCACCAAGGCAAUGAUCAGUAGCCGGUCUGAGAGGAUGAACGGCCACAUUGGGACUGAGACACGGCCCAGACUCCUACGGGAGGCAGCAGUGGGGAAUCUUCCGCAAUGGACGAAAGUCUGACGGAGCAACGCCGCGUGAGUGAUGACGGCCUUCGGGUUGUAAAGCUCUGUUAAUCGGGACGAAAGGUCCUCUUGCGAAUAGUUAGAGGAAUUGACGGUACCGGAAUAGAAAGCCACGGCUAACUACGUGC